rnacentral:rRNA from 1 species
GACGAACGCGGCGGCGUGCCUAAUACUGCAAGUCGAACGAGAGCGACCGGUGCUUGCACUGGUCAAUCUAGUGGCGAACGGGUGAGUAACACGUGGGUAACCUGCCCAUCAGAGGGGGAUAACAUCCGGAAACGGAUGCUAAAACCGCAUAGGUUUCGAGCCGCAUGGCUUGAAGAGGAAAAGAGGCGCAAGCUUCUGCUGAUGGAUGGACCCGCGGUGCAUUAGCUAGUUGGUGAGGUAACGGCUCACCAAGGCCGUGAUGCAUAGCCGACCUGAGAGGGUGAUCGGCCACAUUGGGACUGAGACACGGCCCAAACUCCUACGGGAGGCAGCAGUAGGGAAUCUUCCGCAAUGGACGCAAGUCUGACGGAGCAACGCCGCGUGAGUGAAGAAGGUUUUCGGAUCGUAAAACUCUGUUGUUAGAGAAGAACAAGUGCUAGAGUAACUGUUAGCGCCUUGACG